GUGGGAGGGGGCUUGCUCCCGAUGGCGGAGUGUCAGUCACUGUAUUUGCUCACUGACACACCGCAAUCGGGAGCAAGCCCCCUCCCAC
rnacentral:misc_RNA from 1 species